rnacentral:lncRNA from 1 species
CUCUUUGACUGACCUGAAGAGAAAAUGAUAGUGAACAAAACAGUUGAAAAAUCAUGUGAAAUGAAAAACGGGAAGGGGCUCAUCAAAGGGACUUUAGGGUUUCAACCGUGGCGGCUCCAUCAGGCCUUUUUCGUAGUUUUUUGCUCACCUGCCCUUUUGCUCCGAUAUGACCGUGGGGAGACUUGGAAUCGAAUUUCGAAUGGGUAUGAGAUAAUUUUACCUAUUUUUCCAGUCAAUGGUGGCUCCGAUACGGCGGCGACCGGGUGUUGGUCUUUUUCUCCGGCUGGUCCUUCUUCUCCAUCGAAGGUAGGGCAGCCAGG